CCCGUCUAACGCAUUGAAAGGAAGCUUCUUUACCACUGAGUCACCAGGGAAGCCUAAGGGUUUGAUGAGAAGCAGCAUGUGAAUAAUGAAAGUUCAUUGCCUGUUCUGGAGGAGUGAGAAGUCCCUCUGAUCUUGGUGCCAAGUCAUGGCAGGUAGCCCAGUGGUAAAGAAUCCGCCUGCCAAUGUAAGAGAUGCAGGAGACGGGGAUCCGAUCUCUGGGUCGGGAAGAUCUCUUGGAAUAAGAAAUGGCAACCCACUCCAGCAUUCUUGCCUGGAGAAUCCCAUGGACAGAGGAGUCUGGCGGGCUACAGUCCAUGAGCUGGACAUGACUGAGCACACACACACAUCACUAGAAGGG
ensembl:lncRNA